CAACCCUUAAGCUUAGCUUAGUGUUGGGAAUCUACCGCGAGUGGUGCUACCCUGUAGCUACCCUGUAGUUCCUCAAAUUCAACGGCGGAGUUAUAGUUACCUCUGAGCGCAGUAAUACUUAUCACGCUUAGGAAGUGCUAUAAUUUUAGCCGCUAAACCCCCAAUUUUUUAAU
rnacentral:misc_RNA from 1 species